CUUUGUUUUAAUACAGUACUGCAGAAACAACAGCAGAAUGAUACUCAGAACACACUAAUGAACACUUAACAACCAAUGCAAGCUUGAAGACAAAAAACUAAGUUCAAAUUCAUUUUAAAGUUCAAAACCAAUAAUGUUCAAAACCAAUAAUGAUCAGGGAGAAACCAGAUGUCUACUGAAUUUGCAUUCUUACAAAACUUCUCUCUUAUCUAUCUAUUUAUCAGUUUUAAUUCUGAACUGGCAGCAACAGCUAAAGGCCUCAGUUAAUGGUAUUAGGUGUCAUUAGUCUCUCUCU